rnacentral:rRNA from 1 species
UACGGAGGGGGCUAGCGUUGUUCGGAAUUACUGGGCGUAAAGCGUACGUAGGCGGCUUUGUAAGUUAGAGGUGAAAGCCCGGGGCUCAACUCCGGAAUUGCCUUUAAGACUGCAUCGCUUGAAUCAUGGAGAGGUGAGUGGAAUUCCGAGUGUAGAGGUGAAAUUCGUAGAUAUUCGGAAGAACACCAGUGGCGAAGGCGACACACUGGACAUGUAUUGACGCUGAGGUACGAAAGCGUGGGGAGCAAACAGG